rnacentral:rRNA from 1 species
UAGGGAAUCUUCCGCAAUGGACGCAAGUCUGACGGAGCAACGCCGCGUGAGUGAAGAAGGAUUUCGGUUCGUAAAACUCUGUUGUUAGAGAAGAACAGCGCAUAGAGUAACUGUUAUGCGUGUGACGGUAUCUAACCAGAAAGCCACGGCUAACUACGUGCCAGCAGCCGCGGUAAUACGUAGGUGGCAAGCGUUGUCCGGAUUUAUUGGGCGUAAAGCGAGCGCAGGCGGUCAAUUAAGUCUGAUGUGAAAGCCCCCGGCUCAACCAGGGAGGGUCAUUGGAAACUGGUUGACUUGAGUGCAGAAGAGGAGAGUGGAAUUCCAUGUGUAGCGGUGAAAUGCGUAGAUAUAUGGAGGAACACCAGUGGCGAAGGCGACUCUCUGGUCUGUAACUGACGCUGAGGCUCGAAAGCGUGGGUAGCAAACAGG